rnacentral:misc_RNA from 1 species
UGUGAGAGCUGGCUUGCCUGCAAUGCUGUCACCUCGGUGUAUACGGCGUACCGAGUUGAAGCCAUCGCAGGCAAGCCAGCUCCCACA